rnacentral:rRNA from 1 species
AGUGAACGCUGGCGGUAGGCCUAACACAUGCAAGUCGAACGGCAGCACAGUAAGAGCUUGCUCUUACGGGUGGCGAGUGGCGGACGGGUGAGGAAUACAUCGGAAUCUACUUUUUCGUGGGGGAUAACGUAGGGAAACUUACGCUAAUACCGCAUACGACCUACGGGUGAAAUCAGGGGAUCUUCGCACCUUGCGCGAUUGAAUGAGCCGAUGUCGGAUUAGCUAGUUGGCUGGGUAAAGGCCCACCAAGGCGACGAUCCGUAGCUGGUCUGAGAGGAUGAUCAGCCACACUGGAACUGAGACACGGUCCAGACUCCUACGGGAGGCAGCAGUGGGGAAUAUUGGACAAUGGGCGCAAGCCUGAUCCAGCCAUACCGCGUGGGUGAAGAAGGCCUUCGGGUUGUAAAGCCCUUUUGUUGGGAAAGAAAAGCAGCAGGUUAAUACCCCGCUGUUCUGACGGUACCCAAAGAAUAAGCACCGGCUAACUUCGUG